rnacentral:rRNA from 1 species
GGUUUUUUGAUUUUAAUUUAAAAUUUAUUCUGCUCAAUGAUAAAUUAAAUAGCUGCAGGCAGCUGUACUAAGGUAGCAUAAUCAAUAGUUUUUUAAUUGAAAGCUUGAAUGAAUGAAUGAAUGAGAUAUAAACUGUUUCUAUUUUAUUGAUAGAAUUUUUUUAUAAGUUAAAAAACUUAUUUGAUUUAAAAAGACGAGAAGACCCUAUAGAUUUUUAUAAAUUAUUUUUAUAUAAAAUUUAAAUUAAUAAAAAUUUUUUAAAAUAUUUAUUUUUUUGGGGUGAAAUAUAAAUUUAUAUAACUUUAUUAUUUAUUAAACAUAAAUUAAUGAGUUAAAGAUUUUUAAUUUAAAAUUAAUAGAAUAAAUUACCUUAGGGAUAACAGUGUAAUUUUUUUAGAGAGUUCUUAUUGAUAAAAAAGUUUAC